AUUAGCACAAAUUAACUCGAGAGUUUAGACUAAUUUCAAGUUGUGAGCUCUAAGUUAGAUCGAGUUUGAGGUCCGGCUAUGACUAGCUUUGGCCUAGCUGAAAUCUACAUGUUAGCUUGAAAUCAAUGUAACCUAACUCUGGCUCAAUUACGAAUUAAGUUCGGAUUAAUUAUACUUUAAUCCUUAUAAAUUAAAUUUACAAGAUCCACUUCGAAAAGCCAAGUGAAUUGAAGUUAACCCGAAAACUAAAGCCAAAUUACGUUUAAUUAAGAUGAAUUUCAAGAGAAGCCUAGGAUUAAGAGCGCACGCGAUGGGCCAAGGAAAUUCAACGAACUUCCCUGGAACGGGAAAUUUUCGAGCGGAAGAAGCCAGCCUGAUCCACCUUCUGCUCACGUUGGAGUUUACCCGCCUUCUCGUCCAUUUCGGACCGGUUCCAGUAAUUCUACUAACUUCUCUAUUUGAAAAAUUGGCCAAGGGUGGGUGGAGCUUGCCUUUUCAUCGUUUCAAAGUGCUUGCUACAAUUCGGG